rnacentral:lncRNA from 1 species
CUCCCGCCUUCCGAAGUUAGCAAACUUCCUUCCCCGCAUUUCUUAAAGAGAGUGCUCCUCUGCCUUGCCGGUUCCUGCAGUGCUUUACCGAGUUCCUAAUCUUCCCUUUUGGAAGUGAAAAUGUCUGCAAAGAUUGGAGGAGGUUUCGGGAGGGAAGCUUCUCAGCAGAUCCUGGCUGGAGGUUCAGCGGGGCAAGAGAAUACAAAAAAGGAGCACUGACUUAACCUGAAUAGUGCCAAAAGAGCACACAGGUCAAAAAAAAAAAGAAGAAGAAGAAACCAAUCCAGGAAGGAUUGAUGGACUACUAAGCCAAUACAAAGAACUUGAAUCUAGUGUGAGACUUAAGGUUGUGAUGCUUGACAUACGUUAAGAUGUAGGCCUUCCUUGUAGCCACACUCUUUGUGAAAGUCUUUACAGACAAGUACCAAAAUUUGGCUCCUACCUGGCUUCUAUAAUCUAGUCCCUUUUCUGUCUUUCAUAAUGUGGCAACUUUCUGUAGUCUUGGCUACUGACUGGGAAAAUGCUUAAUUGCUUAUAUCAUUUUAAUUGGGCAAUUCAAGGACCUGUUUAGAUUUAUUUUUCCUUUACUUGGAAUUUUUACACAUAAGACUUUGAUAGUCUAUAUUUCAUCCAGAAAUUAUCUUUUUUUAUUUUGGAUUUUUUAAAUUUCUUUUGCCAAUUGAUUCAUAUACCUCAUAACUUAGCCAUGCAUCCCUAAAUGAUCCCUGUGUUUUUCAACCACCCUCUUUAGUGGGGGUAAUGUAUAAUUAUUGUUAUUUUAAAUUACAAAGCUUAAUUCCUUUUGAGAGUAAUUUUAGGUUAAGAAACAUGCUACCUUUCUGAAUCCAGAAAGUGAACUGUUUGGAGAAGACACCAUUAAGAUGCCUCCACAGACAACACGCU